AACAAAAUUACUGAACAGCAGCUUGAGGGGGUGCCAUGAGGGGCAACCAGGCUGGCAGGGGGUGCAGUAAGAGGGAUCUAUGGUCAUUUUCUCAGAUGACAUUGGGAAAUGAAAAUAUCAAGACAAUUUGAGGACUGUUGACAUUGAUUACCUGCAGACCAAAGCAUUACAUCAUGACCCUCUUACUGAAGUUUUUGGAGCACAUGAGCAGAUAGUGGCUGGGCCUCUUGGAGAGACCACACAGACAAUGCUUGGCAAAUUACCAUAAUGCCACUCAGCUUGAGAGCAUUAUUUGAUAAGCCCUUCUCCAUUCCAGUAAUGUUCAUGAAACACAGUUCAUCCCACAAGCUACUGGAAAACAUCCUGCGAAGUAGUAGACCAUGGUGUGGAAAGUAUUCUUAAGACCUAGGAUUUUCUCAGAGGGAAUGCCUUGCAUGUGCAUAACCACCAAAUGUCCCAUUUUGUUGUUUGAAAAUAGAGGAACGUAUAUUCAAACCUCACUCUUUGCUUCUAAGGUGGCUCCAUUUCAGUUAUCUUCAUUAAUAUCAAGACAUUAAAAACUUUAAA